AGCUCUUUCAGUGUUGCCCCGCGCGUUUCCGCUUCCUCUUCCGGGUCCGGCGACUCCAGGUGUAAAAAAUGGUUCAGCGCCUGACCUACCGCCGUAGGUUGUCCUACAACACAGCUUCCAACAAGACCAGACUGUCCCGAACACCCGGGAACAGGAUUGUUUACCUUUACACCAAGAAAGUGGGAAAGGCACCCAAGUCAGCAUGUGGGAUAUGCCCAGGAAGGCUUCGUGGUGUAAGUAUGAGCCUGGCUGGCGUAAGGGUGU